GAUGAACGCUGGCUCCAGGCUUAACACAUGCAAGUCGAGGGGAAACGACGGGAAGGCUUGCUUCCCCGGGCGUCGACCGGCGCCCGGGUGAGUAACGCGUAUCCAACCUGCCUCUGACUGAGGGAUAACCCGUCGAAAGUCGGCCUAAUACCCCAUGUUAUCGUCUCCGGGCAUCAAACAACGAUUAAAGAUUUCAUCGGUCAGGGAUGGGGAUGCGUCUGAUUAGCUUGUUGGCGGGGUAACGGCCCACCAAGGCUACGAUCAGUAGGGGUUCUGAGGGGAAGGUCCCCCACAUUGGAACUGAGACACGGUCCAAACUCCUACGGGAGGCAGCAGUGAGGAAUAUUGGUCAAUGGGCGAGAGCCUGAACCAGCCAAGUAGCGUGCAGGAAGACGGCCCUAUGGGUUGUAAACUGCUUUUAUGCGGGGAUAAAGUGAGGGACGUGUCCCUCAUUGCAGGUACCGCAUGAAUAAGGACCGGCUAAUUCCGU
rnacentral:rRNA from 1 species